GCGCCCGUAGCUCAACGGACAGAGCACAAGAUUGCGGAUCUUGCGGUUGGAGGUUCGAUUCCUCUCGGGCGCGCCA
rnacentral:tRNA from 1 species